rnacentral:rRNA from 1 species
CCUACGGGAGGCAGCAGUGAGGAAUAUUGGUCAAUGGGCGCGAGCCUGAACCAGCCAAGUAGCGUGAAGGAUGACUGCCCUACGGGUUGUAAACUUCUUUUAUAAAGGAAUAAAGUGAGCCACGUGUGCCUUUUUGUAUGUACCUUAUGAAUAAGGACCGGCUAAUUCCGUGCCAGCAGCCGCGGUAAUACGGAGGAUCCGAGCGUUAUCCGGAUUUAUUGGGUUUAAAGGGAGCGUAGAUGGGUUGUUAAGUCAGUUGUGAAAGUUUGCGGCUCAACCGCAAAAGUGCAAUUGAUACUGGCAGCCUUGAGUGCGUGUGAGGUAGGCGGAAUUCGUGGUGUAGCGGUGAAAUGCUUAGAUAUCACGAAGAACUCCGAUUGCGAAGGCAGCUUACUAAACUGCCACUGACGUUGAUGCUCGAAAGUGUGGGUAUCGAACAGGAUUAGAUACCCGGGUAGUC